rnacentral:rRNA from 1 species
CCUACGGGAGACAGCAGUGAGGAAUAUUGGUCAAUGGGCGGAAGCCUGAACCAGCCAAGUAGCGUGCAGGAUGACGGCCCUACGGGUUGUAAACUGCUGUUAUACGGGAAUAACGCGCCUUACGUGUAGGGCUUUGCAUGUACCGUAUGAAUAAGGACCGGCUAAUUCCGUGCCAGCAGCCGCGGUAAUACGGAAGGUCCGGGCGUUGUCCGGAUUUAUUGGGUUGAAAGGGAGCGUAGGCCGCAUGUCAAGCGUGCUGUGAAAUGUCCGGGCUCAACCCGGGCCUUGCAGCGCGAACUGGCGGGCUGGAGUCCGCGGAAAGCAGGCGGAAUUCGCGGUGUAGCGGUGAAAUGCGUAGAUAUGACGAAGAA